rnacentral:rRNA from 1 species
UACGUAGGGGGCAAGCGUUGUCCGGAAUUAUUGGGCGUAAAGCGCGCGCAGGCGGCUUUGUAAGUCUAGUGUUUAAUCUCGGAGCUCAACUCCGAUUCGCACCGGAAACUGCAAGGCUUGAGUACAGAAGAGGAAAGUGGAAUUCCACGUGUAGCGGUGAAAUGCGUAGAGAUGUGGAGGAACACCAGUGGCGAAGGCGACAUCCUGGACCGGUAUUGACGCUGAGGCGCGAAAGCCAGGGGAGCAAACGGG